GACGAACGCUGGCGGCGUGCUUAACACAUGCAAGUCGAACGGUGAUGCUCCAGCUUGCUGGAGUGGAUCAGUGGCGAACGGGUGAGUAACACGUGAGCAACCUGCCCCAGACUCUGGAAUAAGCGCUGGAAACGGCGUCUAAUACUGGAUACGAAACUGGCCCGCAUGGGCAUGGUUUGGAAAGUUUUUCGGUUUGGGAUGGGCUCGCGGCCUAUCAGCUUGUUGGUGAGGUAAUGGCUCACCAAGGCGACGACGGGUAGCCGGCCUGAGAGGGCGACCGGCCACACUGGGACUGAGAAACGGCCCAGACUCCUACGGGAGGCAGCAGUGGGGAAUAUUGCACAAUGGGCGAAAGCCUGAUGCAGCGACGCCGCGUGGGGGAUGACGGCCUUCGGGUUGUAAACCUCUUUCAGCAGGGAAGAAGCGAAAGUGACGGUACCUGCAGAAGAAGCACCGGCUAACUACGUG
rnacentral:rRNA from 1 species